UUCCCCUUUUCCUUGGUGUGCCACAAGCUCCCCACGAUGUCUGGAGCAGGGGCUGGGUCACUCCUGAAGCUUUCCAGUCCCAGCGUGGCCUCCCCAAAGCCCAUGAGAACCAAUUCCCCUUUUCCUCCUCACCACUGCCUCCCCAGAGAGGCUGAGUGAGGGGUGGCCCCACAGCUGCUCAGUCCCACGGAUCCACCUGCAUGGGGACAUCCCUGCUGUCACCCCCGUGUCCCCUCGGAGCCAGCCUGGCUCUGGGCUCUCUGCUGUGCUCCAGAGCCAAAUCCUGCUCGCUCCUCGUGCUGGCUCCACGCUGCCUUGGACUGAAAGCAUCUCCUGAGCUGCACUGCCGUGUGUCUGAGGGUUCCCCACCCUGCCACGGUGGGAAGAGCUUUGUCCUUGUGGGAAACCUCACUGAGGGCUCCAGAACUGCCCAGCUCCCCAUCCCAGGCAAGGAGAGCCCCCAAUCCAGGCUCAGAACUGAUCCCAGGCUGCUCAGGGAGAGCCUCCAUCCCCUCCCUGCUGCUGCUGCAAGGGGAAUCACCAGCAAAGGGCACAGCAGACCCCAGAGCUGCCUCCCUGCUGCUGAGAGUGGAACUGACUGCUGCUGCUGCUGCUGCUGCUGCUGCUGCUGCUGCUGCUGCUGCUGCUGCCCAGGGCAGCCCUGCCAUUCCCUUCCCAGCCUGGCACCGGCCCAUCCUGAGGGGUUCCAGCUCCUCUCUCUGCCUGCUCCAGGGCUGGACUGUGAAAAGCCAGGAGAGGAGAGCCAGCCUGGGAGGAUCCUCUUCUUAUACAAACAUUUCACACUUCUAAAAAUCGAAACUUAAAAUUGCAACACUCCUCCAGCUGUGUCCCGAGCAGGAGAUGCUGAGGGAUGCAAAGCCUGGCCACUCCCUCUAUCCAUCCUUCCAUCCAUGGAUUUUAUCCCUCCAUGGAUUCCAUUCCCUCCCUCCAUGGAUUCCAUCCCUCCAUCCCAACCCCACGCCGUGUCUGAUUGUAAAUACAUGUAAAUUGUAUAUUCUGGCUGUGCCCAGGGGGGUUUUCUCUUCACUCACACAGCCCCACAGGGCAUUGGUGGCACCAGGAGGGACCACAGAGGCUGCUGCCACUCUGCCAGGUGAUUUCUGCAGGGCAAGGUGGGUGAAGGGAGGUCUCUGUUCCCUGCAGAGCCCCCAGCAGCCCUGCCCAUGCCUGUGUCCCUGCCCUGGCAGUGGCUCUGUGCCACCAGGACGUGCCCAGGCCGUGUCCCUGCUCCCAGCCCUGUUUUCCUCCCUGGUUUCCACAUUCCUCAGUGUCCUGAUGUGGGAUUGAGCCUCCCUGCAGCAAAGGCUCCUGACUGCCACGGUCUGUGCCACAGGGAGGGAAAUAAAAGAUUUUCCUACAGUUUCUGGUUGUGUGUG
rnacentral:lncRNA from 1 species